AAUAGAUACCCGGGUAGUCCACGCCGUAAACGAUGAGAACUAGAUGUUGGGUACAUUAAAGUACGUUAGUAUCGUAGCUAACGCGAUAAGUUCUCCGCCUGGGGAGUACGGCCGCAAGGUUAAAACUCAAAGGAAUUGACGGGGGGCCCGCACAAGCGGUGGAGCAUGUGGUUUAAUUCGAUGCAACGCGAAGAACCUUACCUGCCCUUGACAUGUCAGGAAGUCUGCAGAGAUGCGGAUGUGCCUUCGGGAGCCUGAACACAGGUGCUGCAUGGCUGUCGUCAGCCCGUGUCGUGAGAUGUUGGGUUAAGUCCCGUAACGAGCGCAACCCUUGUCCUUAGUUGCCAACACGUAAAGGUGGGAACUCUAAGGAGACUGCCGGUGAUAAACCGGGAGGAAGGUGGGGAUGACGUCAAGUCAUCAUGGCCCUUAUGGGGCAGGGGCUACACACGUGCUACAAUGGAGCGUACAAAGGGUAGCGAACUCGCGAGAGGGGAGCCAAUCUCAAAAAACGCUUCGGUAGUCCGGAUUGGAGU
rnacentral:rRNA from 1 species